rnacentral:rRNA from 1 species
UACGUAGGGGGCAAGCGUUGUCCGGAAUCAUUGGGCGUAAAGAGCGCGUAGGCGGUCCAGUAAGUCCGCUCUGAAAGUCCGGGGCUCAACCCCGGGAGGCGGGCGGAUACUGCUGGGCUAGAGUCCGGAAGGGGAGAAUGGAACUCCUGGUGUAGCGGUGGAAUGCGCAGAUAUCAGGAAGAACACCGAUGGCGAAGGCAGUUCUCUGGGCCGUAACUGACGCUGAGGAGCGAAAGCGUGGGGAGCGAACAGG